GCGGGGAUAGCUAAGUUGGGAGAGCAUCAGACUAAAGAUUUAAAGGUCGCGUGUUCGAUCCACGCUCAUUGCA
rfam:Picea glauca, whole genome shotgun sequence.